AGACGCUGCCCAUUCUCCACGUUGCUACUUGGUUUUUCUACAUUCUUUUGUCUCUGGGCUUUCUUGAUAAAACAUUGUUCCGCUACUUUUCCUACUUCAAAGUGUGUCACAGACUGUUUUGCUUUCAACAGGGAGUUUAAGUAAACUUGGCUGUUGUUUUGAAAUAUUCUGUCACGGUAUGCUGUACCCACCGCAAGCAUGAUACGAAUGCUACUGACAAAAAAGAGGAGAUGCUUUGAAAGUGCUGAGAAAAAUCCCAGCCUUAAUGACUGGAGUGGACAAUGGCCAUCAACCGAACAGUAUCAACCCUGUUGAAACCUUUCAGAUUUGUACUCUUUGGCAAUGGCGCCCCCUAGAGACCAACAGUUGAUGAUACACCAUCGUUUAUUACCCCUGACGCUACCUGAAUCCCAAGUCGUUCUCAGCUAAAGUAUACCACAAAAUAUACUUGAAAAUUGGUGAAACCAAUACCGGUUGGGCAAAGGUUUCUAUAUGCCUUUGUUCAAAUAGCUGAAAUUUUGUCUAUCUGUACACGCUUAAGAAACUCGAUACCUUUCAAAGGUACUACCUGAGUAAACAGCAACAGGCAGGAUACAAGUAUUUGGUAGCUAUUGGAUUGGUGAAUUAGUACAAUGAGAGAUCCAAACUCAGUUACGCAGAGGAUCCAGGAAUCACGGUUGCUGAGUGAAGCAGUCAACAAGGCCUGCUUUUCCAGAUCUUCUGAUCUACAGGGAAGCAAGAAUUUUAUGUGAACACCAUAGUAUUUAAAAUGUAUAUGGAUUAUGUGAAAUUCUUGUAUUUUUAAUGUUGGCAGUUAGUAUCAGACCAUGCUCUCUCUGUAUUCCUUAAAACUGCCUUUGACUUCUGAAUUUUAUAUCAUCAGAUUAUAUCGCUCACUGUUCUUCACCAUUGCUGUCAUCCACUGCUCUCCCCCACCUUAAUUCUUCCCUCUCAUUUUUAGACUAUAUAGCUCCUGCUCACUGCAAUUCUCUCCAAUACUAGCCCUAUCUUAUUUGAUGAUUUGAAAUCUAUGUAGAGUAGAUGAUGAUCUUUCCAAUACCCUGUCCUGUGAGUUCUUUGACCGAUCCUCCUCCAGUAAUCUUAUUCUCCACCCUAUUUCAGCCACUCACUCCCAUGAUCAUUCCCUAGAACUUGUCAUUAUCGACUGUGCCCCUUCUGUAAUUUCUAUUUCAUGAAUCCACUCUCAGACCACAUCUCCUGUCCUUCCAGUGCAUUCCCUGUAGUGCUCUGACCCCAACAAUUCUUCCCCCCGCCCCACCUUCCCACCCCCGUAGUUUACCAAAUCCAAAAUCUUGCCACCUCUUCUCUGGCCCCACCCUCUUAAUGUCCUUACUUCUCUCUUUAUCCAUAAAAUCCACACUCAAUUUUUCUAAUCCCUCUCACAUAUGCUCUCCAUUCUCUUGCUCCUCUUUGGCUUUGUUGAGCUGCCUUGGCAAAUCUACCCUCCUGAUCAGAUACAAUUUUCUAAUUUUUGGCUCUGCCUCCCCUGCACCAGAAUGUAGCUGGAGGUGGAGUGGGGAAUAAAAACCCUGUUAAUUGGACCCAAUUUAAAAUCAAAGCCAUGACUUUCAAAUGGGUCCUUUAUGCUUCCAGGUUGUCACACUAAGUGCCCUUUGUUCACUUACUCUUCGGGUCCCCUUGACAACUAUUCUAUGCCUUCUCUUUUCCCAACUCCGUUUACCUUCUUCUCCACCCUUCUGCGCAGCCAAUGAUCUUGAGAGUAUUUAGUGAAAGUACUGAAGUAUCAGAAAAAAACAUCCACAGACUCUCAGCACCAUCAGCAGCACCACAUUUAUCUGCCCACCAGCAUCUGUAGGGACAUACACGCCCUCCCUCCUUUUCCAUUAGUCAAUUAGUAGGCUCCUAUCUAAGUCUAAUCCCUUCACUAGUGCAUCUGAUCUGAUCUCCCGUCUCCUAUUCAAAGAUGUCAGGGCAGCCGUUCUCGCUCGCAGCUACACCAUCAAUUUCUCACUCUUUGCUGGAUUAAUUCCAUCGGCAUACAAAUAUGAUGUUAUUUUUCCAUCUUAAACCAAAAAAAUUUGAUAUGAUUUCCCCCCUUUGAUGCCAUAAUUACCCCCAUUUCUUUACUCCUUUUUGUAGUAAAGAGUUGAAUCUUCUACCUCCAACUUUUCUCCUCUAAUCUUCUCUUAAACCAACUCCUAAGCCACUCCUCCUACCUUACUCCACUGAAAUGGCUCUCAGGGUCAUCUAUGUCCACAUCAUUGCUAAAUAUAACAGUCAAUUUUCAGGCCUCAUCUUACUCAACCUAUCAGUAGUUUUUCUGUUUUUGGUUUUUUUACAUUUAUUUUGAGAGAAAGAGUGAACACGUAAGCAGGGGAGGGGCAGAGGAAGAGGGAGGGAGAGAAUCCUAAGCAGCCCCACAUGUGGGGCUCAAUCUCACCAAACCGUGAGAUCACAACCUGAGCCAAAAUCAAGAGUCAGAUUAACCAACUAAGCCACCCAGGUGCCCCAACCUAUCAGUAGUUUUUGACAAAGGUGAUCCCUCCCCUCCUUCUUGGACACUUUCUUUGUUUUCCAAAUUCUCUUUUUAGCCUACUUCACUGGUCACUCUUCAGCUUCCUGUGCUGUCCCUUCUCUUCUUCCUUAACUCUUAAUGUUGGAGUGCCCCAGGGUUCAGUUCAUAGUUCUCUCUAUGUACACCUACUCCGUUGAUGAUCUCAACCAGUUUCGAGGCUUUAAAUACCAUCUAUCUACCAAGGACUGCCAAAUGUAUAUGGUUAGCCCAGACCUCUCCCUUAAACCUAAGACUCAUGUCCAAAAUUGAACGCUUGAUCCUGUCUCCCGAACCUGUUCUUCAACAUUCUUCCCCAUCCAGGUCACUCUAUCCUUCCAGCUGCUUGAACCAAAAGCUAGAGAGUCAUCCUCGACUCCCCUAUUUCUUCACAGCCCAUGUUCAACCCACUAGCAAACCCUGUUGACUCUAUUCAAAAUAUAUUUAGAAUCACACUUUUCUCCACCUCCACAACUGCCAGCCUGGUUUGAGCCAUCAUCAUAUCCUGUUUGGUUUACUGCAGUUGUCUUCUAACUAAAGUAGCUUCCACUGUUACAAUCUAUAGACUGUCCUCAACACUGCAGCCAGAUUCAUCCUUUUAAAUCAAAUCUGACUAUCUGAUUAUUUGACUAUGUCAACUAAAUCUAUUUAGAAGCCAACAAUGGCAUCUAAUUUGGGUCAGACUAAAAGUCAGACUCUUUGUAUGAUCUGCACUCUCUCUCCUCCCACUCUGCUGUCACCUCUGGUCUUAUUCCCUUGUUCAUUCUGCACUACCACACUGCCUUCUUGUCGGUCUGUGAACACACUAGGCAGAGUCCCACAUCGGAACCUUUGCGCUUGCUAUCCCCUUGCCUACUAUGCUCUUCCCAUCUUGCUGCAGUCUACCCUGCCCUCUGUAUUUGAAAUUGCACUCAGACUCAGGCUGGCGUGUGACUGCAACAGCCAAUAACAUAUGGCUUGGGGUACCAGAUCUCAUUCAGAUUUCUCCUUCUGGAUCUGAACAGGAACAUGUGGCAGCUCUGGCCAUUUCUGGAACCAUUUUGCAACCACAUGGAGCCAAAUGCAUCCUGAUACACUGAACAGACAUUUGGUGAUACUUCCUAUUUUGUUGAUGGCCCGUAAAACUGUGGGAAGAAAACUGACCUCUGUCCAAAACUGGAGUUCAAAUGUAUACAGCUAUAUCUGUGAAAUGUCAGAUGGGCAUGGAAACUGGACGGUAGAGGGAGACAACCGGGCCCCUGAGAGAAAGUAAGUGUUGGUAGAGAACGGUUCCGACGGCACAGACAGAAGCAGUAUGAAGUUCCAGAAGCCCAUGACACUAACACUGAAAUCCACACAAACCCAGACCCUGAACUGCACCCUGCCCACCCACUCCCAGCAUACGUGCUUCUGGCAAAGAGAGGGCUGCGGUUAAACCUAAAACUGUCUCACUGUGUGACUUCAUCUUUUGCCACGGGAACUUUUGCCUCCCCAACUCUGCCCCCCACCCCCCUGCCCCCGUAUUUCAUAUACUAGAAGAAGAGCUUCCUUCCUAGCUGGAGGUAAGAGAGUAAUGAACUACACAGAUUACGAAAUGGAGAUGCCGAGGAAACCCUAAAGGCUAUGGCCCAGAUGGCACCAUAGCACAGAUACACAGUAUUAUCGGUGGCAAAGUCCCAGCUAAGCACAGGCAUCAAAGCCUAAGAUAAAAAAUCAGGUGAGGAGGAAACUAGAGGAGUCAGAUAACAGCUCUUUGUAUACAUGGAAAACUUUUCUUGGUGGCAGUUACUUACCCAGCAUCCCUAAGGAUGAAUGUGCAAAGGACACCCAGCUUGUGGAACAUAGAUUUUCUGGUUUGGGAAAUAAUUUUCAAAACAAAGAUCACUAGCGUAUUCCCUCUUUGAGCCUUAUCCCAUCCCCAGGCCAUAGAGGGUCCUAGGUACAUUGGAGUUCAGGGGUGAGGUAAAGAUCAGUAAUGGGGCGAGAACAUUUGUGGUGCAUAUUACUUGGUAAUUCUAUGAAGGAAAAGUUGGGUGGUUUUAGGCCUUCAUCAAAAUGACCUAAUACUAAUAACAUGCAAUAAUUAUUCCUCCAGUUCAGUGUGGAUUUUUAAAGAUUAGGUUUGCAUUGUCUUAUAACUCAACCCUUCCCCAUUUAAGAUACCAAAACCAGUGUUCUAAAAAUCCAUUACUUUGCAACAUGAUCUAUAUUAAAAUUUUAGCAAUUAUCCUUUUAGGGUUGAAGGAAGGAUAACCGGUGAUUUUAUUUUCUUACUCUGUGUCUUCCAAACUUUCUAAAGUCAACAGCUAUUGUCUAUUAGAAAACCCUCAACUAUAGAAAGUAAUUUCUUCCAACAUUUUCAUGCUUCAUCUCAUUUCACUAUUUUCUUCUUAAAUCAUUUUCCUAGUAUUUCUCACCUCGAAGUGUGUGGCUAUAAUAACUUUUGCCUAGUCAGCACUGCCUUCUAAAAUCUGAUUUUUAUAAUUGAAUAGUUUUCCGUCAAGGGCUUUCAAUAUUAGCUAAAGCUCUAUUUUUGAAGCAAACAUUUAUUUACUUCUAGAAGAACCCCAAACAUGUGAAAUAAAUCUGAGAUUAUGGCGGAA